rnacentral:lncRNA from 1 species
UUAUAUUACAAGCCUGCUCGACCUCUGCUCCAUCCAUCACAUGCCUACCUGUCAGCAUUUCAAACUGGACAGUGCAUUCUUGUCACUAGAAGAGAGUUUGUGUCAAGUAGCUCAAAUGCUUCUUCAAAGAGCUAAGACAAUAUUCAGCAAUAUCAUAUAGUAAACCUGCAUGUGUGACAGAUUUGCUGGGGGAAAGAAGAGGAGUACCAAGAGCCAAACAUCUAGAUGAGGAUGGACAAAGUAGUCCUCUAAAUGAAGAAUGAUAAAAGAGUAAUAUGUAAUGGAAGAAGGAAUGAAUUUUCAAAGAGGAAUAAUUAUUUACAGAAGAAAGACCUAGCAUAGUGUAUCAAAAGCAAUGGAGAAAUCAAGAAAGGUAAUUCUUUUUUUCUGGUUUGAAAGAGGUAUUUAGCGAUAAUGGAGAGUAGAAUUUUAUGAAGCCUGUUUACAGAAGAAAAUUAAAGAUGGGGUAACUAUUGUGUUGAUACUUAAACCAAGCAAAUAAUUAAAUAAACAAAUAAAGCUGCUUU